rnacentral:rRNA from 1 species
AUUGAACUCUGGCGGCAGGCCUAACACAUGCAAGUCGAACGAGUGGCGGACGGGUGCGUAAUUUCUGGGAAACUGCCCUAUGGAGGGGGAUAACUACUGGAAACGGUAGCUAAUACCGCAUACCAUCGGAUGUUCCCAGAUGGGAUUCGCUAGUAGGUGGGGUAAUGGCUCACCUAGGCGACGAUCCCUAGCUGGUCUGAGAGGAUGAACAGCCACACGGGAACUGAGACACGGUACAGCCUCCUACGGGAGGCAGCAGUGGGGAAUAUUGCACAAUGGGCGCAAGCCUGAUGCAGCCAUGCCGCGUGUGUGAAGAAGGCCUUCGGGUUGUAAAGCACUUUCGGCGGGAAGGCGUUACCAGCAGAAGAAGCACCGGCUAACUCCGUGCCAGCAGCCGCGGUAAUUC